rnacentral:rRNA from 1 species
UGGCGGCGUGCCUAAUACAUGCAAGUCGAGCGGACCGGAUCGGAGCUUGCUCUGGUUUGGUCAGCGGCGGACGGGUGAAUAACACGUGGGCAACCUGGCCGCAAGAACGGGAUAACUCCGGGAAACCGGAUCUAAUACCGGAUAACACCGAAGACCGCAUGGUCUUUGGGUGAAAGGCGGCCUUUGGCUGUCACUUGCGGAUGGGCCCGCGGCGCAUGAGCUAGAUGGUGAGGUAACGGCUCACCAAGGCGACCAUGCGUAACCGGCCUGACAGGGUGACCGGCCACACUGGGACUGAUACACCGCCCAAACUCCUACGGACAGCGCACAGUAGGGAAUCUUCCGCAAUGGGCGAAAGCCUGACAGAGCGAUGCCGCGUGAGCCAAGAAGGCCUUCGACGUCCAUAGCUCUGUUGUGAGGGACGAAUGAGCGCCAUUCGAACAGGGCGGCGCGGUGACAGUACCUCACGAUGAAGCCCCGGCUAACUACGUGCCACCACCCGCGGUAAUACGUAGGGGGCCAGCGUUGUCCGGAAUUAUUGGGCGUAAAGCGCGCGCAAGCGGUUCCUUAAGUCUGAUGCGAAAGCCCACAGCUCAUCCGUGCAGGGUCAUUGGAUACUGGGGGACUUGACUGUAUGAGAUGACAGCGAAAUUCCACGUGUACCGAUGAAAUGCGUAGAGAUGUGGAAGAACACCAAUGGCAACGGCGGCUCUCUGGACUGUCACUGACACUGAGGCGCGAAAGCGUGGGGAGCAAACAGGAUUAGAUACCCUGGUAGUCCUCGCUGUAAUCGAUGAGUGCUAAGUGUUAGAGGGGUCACACCCUUUAGUGCUGCAGCUAACGCGAUAAGCACUCCGCCUGGGGAGUGCGGCCGCAAGGCUGAAACUCAAAGGAAUUGACGGGGGCCCGCACAAGCGGUGGAGCGUGUGGUUUAAUUCGAAGCAACGCGAAGAACCUUCCCAGGUCUUGACAUCCCCUGACAACCCGAGAGAUUGGGCGUUCCUCUUUCGGGGGGACAGGGUGACAGGUGGUGCAUGGUUGUCGUCAGCUCGUGUCGUGAGAUGUUGGGUUAAGUCCCGCAACGAGCGCAACCCUCGCCUCUAGUUGCCAGCACGAAGGUGGGCACUUUAGAGGGACUGCCGGCGGCAAGUCGGAGGAAGGUGGGGAUGACGUCAAAUCAUCAUGCCCCUUAUGACCUGGGCUACACCCGUGCUACAAUGGGCGGUACAAAGGGGUGCGAGCCCGCGAGGGGGAGCGAAUCCCAAAAAGCCGCUCUCAGUUCGGAUUGCAGGGUGCAACUCUCGUGCAUGAAGCCGGAAUCGCUAGUAAUCGCGGAUCAGCAUGCCGCGGUGAAUACGUUCCCGGGCCUUGUACACACCGCCCGUCACACCACGAGAGCUUGCAACACCCGAAGUCGGUGAGGUAACCCUUACAGGAGCCAGCCGCCGAAGGUGGGGC